CAUCGAGGAAGGAAGCCACUCCAGAAGGGAGACCAGAAACCUGUCUCCUCCCUUCCAGCCCCCAGGCCCAGCGCCUGAUCCAGGGCCUGGAGCAAAGAGCAGAUGGGGAGCGGUGCUGGGCGGCCGACUGGCCUCGGGACGGCGGGCGGAGCAGCCCUGGAGGGCAGGACGAGGGAGGGUUCAUGGCCCAGGGGAAGCCAGGGAGCAGCUCACCCCCUGGGGGGCCCCCGCAGCCCGGGAGCCAGCUAGACAGCCUGCUGGGGAGCCUGCAGUCCGACCUGAACAAGCUGGGGGUUGCCACGGUCGCCAAAGGAGUCUGUGGGGCCUGCAAGAAACCCAUCGCCGGGCAGGUUGUGACCGCCAUGGGGAAGACGUGGCACCCCGAGCACUUCGUCUGCACCCACUGCCAGGAGGAGAUCGGAUCCCGGAACUUCUUCGAGCGGGAUGGACAGCCCUACUGUGAAAAGGACUACCACAACCUCUUCUCCCCGCGCUGCUACUACUGCAACGGCC
rnacentral:sRNA from 1 species